AUAAGAGGUCCAGCCUGCCCAGUGACUCAUUCAACGGCCGCGGUAUUCUAACCGUGCGAAGGUAGCGUAAUCACUUGUCUUCUAAAUAAAGACCAGUAUGAAAGGCAUCACGAAGACUAAACUGUCUCCUCUCUCUAAUCAGUGAACCUAAUCUCCCCGUGAAGAAGCGGGGAUCUCAUUAUAAGACGAGAAGACCCCAUGGAGCUUAAAACAUCAUAACACCUGCCCCCACUCACAACCACUCCGAUGUAUCCAUAUAACGGCACCCUGAUUAUGUGUUUUUGGUUGGGGUGACCACGGAGAAAAACUUAUCCUCCACAAUGAAAGGGACCUCCCCUAAACAAUAAGUUACAACUUUAUGUAUCAAAAAAUUGACAUUCAUUGACCCAACAAAUUGAUUAACGAACCAAGUUACCCUGGGGAUAACAGCACAAUCCACUUUGAGAGCCCCUAUCGACAAGUGGGCUUAUGACCUCGAUGUUGGAUCGGGAUAUCCUAGUGGUGUAACCGCUACUAAAGGUUCGUUUGUUCAACGAUUAAAACCCC
rnacentral:rRNA from 1 species